rnacentral:rRNA from 1 species
GGAGUUUGGGCCGUGUCUCAGUCCCAAUGUGGCCGUUCACCCUCUCAGGGCGGCUACUGAUCGUUGCUUUGGUGGGCCGUUACCUCACCAACUGGCUAAUCAGACGCGGGUCCAUCUUAUACCACCGGAGUUUUUCACACUGUAUCAUGCGAUACCGUGCGCUUAUGCGGUAUUAGCAGUCAUUUCUAACUGUUGUCCCCCGGUAUAAGGCAGGUUACCCACGCGUUACUCACCCGUCCGCCACUAAGUUUAUAAUCACUAGGUUUCAUAUAAACUCCGUUCGACUUGCAUGUGUUAAGCACGCCGCCAGCGUUCAUC